rnacentral:rRNA from 1 species
AGGGCGCACGGUGGAUGCCUUGGCACUAGGAGCCGAUGAAGGACGGGACUAACACCGAUAUGCUUUGGGGAGCUGUAAGUAAGCUAUGAUCCAGAGAUUUCCGAAUGGGGGAACCCAAUAUCUUUUAUAGGAUAUUACUUUUCAGUGAAUACAUAGCUGAUUAGAGGUAGACGCAGAGAACUGAAACAUCUUAGUACCUGCAGGAAGAGAAAGAAAAUUCGAUUCCCUGAGUAGCGGCGAGCGAAACGGGAAGAGCCCAAACCAACAAGCUUGCUUGUUGGGGUUGUAGGACUCCAAUAUGGUAGUCUGUUAGUAUAGUUGAAGGAUUUGGAAAAUUCCGCUAAAGAGGGUGAAAGCCCCGUAGACGAAAUGCUGACAACACCUAGGAGGAUCCUGAGUACGGCGGAACACGAGAAAUUCCGUCGGAAUCCGCGGGGACCAUCCCGCAAGGCUAAAUACUCCCUAGUGACCGAUAGUGAACCAGUACCGUGAGGGAAAGGUGAAAAGCACCCCGGAAGGGGAGUGAAAUAGAUCCUGAAACCGUGUGCCUACAACAAGUCAAAGCUCGUUAAUGAGUGAUGGCGUGCCUUUUGUAGAAUGAACCGGCGAGUUACGAUUGCAUGCGAGGUUAAGUCGAAGAGACGGAGCCGCAGCGAAAGCGAGUCUGAAUAGGGCGAAUGAGUAUGUAGUCGUAGACCCGAAACCAUGUGAUCUACCCAUGUCCAGGUUGAAGGUGCGGUAAAACGCACUGGAGGACCGAACCCACGUACGUUGAAAAGUGCGGGGAUGAGGUGUGGGUAGCGGAGAAAUUCCAAACGAACUUGGAGAUAGCUGGUUCUCUCCGAAAUAGCUUUAGGGCUAGCCUCGGAAUUGAGAAUGAUGGAGGUAGAGCACUGUUUGGACUAGGGGCCCAUCUCGGGUUACCGAAUUCAGAUAAACUCCGAAUGCCAUUCAUUUAUAUCCGGGAGUCAGACUGCGAGUGAUAAGAUCCGUAGUCGAAAGGGAAACAGCCCAGACCACCAGCUAAGGUCCCAAAAUAUAUGUUAAGUGGAAAAGGAUGUGGGGUUGCACAGACAACUAGGAUGUUGGCUUAGAAGCAGCCACCAUUUAAAGAGUGCGUAAUAGCUCACUAGUCGAGUGACCCUGCGCCGAAAAUGUACCGGGGCUAAACAUAUUACCGAAGCUGUGGACUACACCAUUAGGUGUAGUGGUAGGAGAGCGUUCUAAGGGCGUUGAAGGUCGAUCGUGAGGACGGCUGGAGCGCUUAGAAGUGAGAAUGCCGGUAUGAGUAGCGAAAGACAGGUGAGAAUCCUGUCCACCGUAUGACUAAGGUUUCCUGGGGAAGGCUCGUCCGCCCAGGGUUAGUCGGGACCUAAGCCGAGGCCGAUAGGCGUAGGCGAUGGACAACAGGUUGAUAUUCCUGUACCAGUUGUUUUUGUUUGAGCAAUGGAGGGACGCAGUAGGCUAAGGAAUGCAUGCGAUUGGAAGUGCAUGUCCAAGCAAUGAGUCUUGAGUAGAGUUAAAUGCUUUACUCUUUAAGGACAAGUUGUGAUGGGGAGCGAAAUAAUAGUAGCGAAGUUCCUGAUGUCACACUGCCAAGAAAAGCUUCUAGUGAGAAAACAACUGCCCGUACCGUAAACCGACACAGGUAGUCGAGGAGAGUAUCCUAAGGUGAGCGAGCGAACUCUCGUUAAGGAACUCGGCAAAAUGACCCCGUAACUUCGGGAGAAGGGGUGCUGACUUCGGUCAGCCGCAGUGAAUAGGCCCAAGCGACUGUUUAUCAAAAACACAGGUCUCUGCAAAAUCGUAAGAUGAAGUAUAGGGGCUGACGCCUGCCCGGUGCUGGAAGGUUAAGAGGAUGGGUUAGCUUCGGCGAAGCUCAGAAUUGAAGCCCCAGUAAACGGCGGCCGUAACUAUAACGGUCCUAAGGUAGCGAAAUUCCUUGUCGGGUAAGUUCCGACCCGCACGAAAGGCGUAACGAUUUGGGCACUGUCUCAACGAGAGACUCGGUGAAAUUUUAGUACCUGUGAAGAUGCAGGUUACCCGCGACAGGACGGAAAGACCCCAUGGAGCUUUACUGUAGUUUGAUAUUGAGUGUUUGUACCACAUGUACAGGAUAGGUAGGAGCCGAUGAGACCGGAACGCUAGUUUCGGAGGAGGCGCUGGUGGGAUACUACCCUUGUGUUAUGAACCCUCUAACCCGCACCACUAAUCGUGGUGGGAGACAGUGUCAGAUGGGCAGUUUGACUGGGGCGGUCGCCUCCUAAAAGGUAACGGAGGCGCCCAAAGGUUCCC